GGUGAGAUGGCCAAGAGGUCUUCACGCUAGAUUUGGGUAUCUACUUGGUUACUUCUAUGAAAUCUAUCUCUAUUCGCGGCGGGGGUUCAAAUCCCGCUCUCAUCG